ensembl:lncRNA
UGCUGCUCACUGUGGUGGUGACUGUCUCCUUUGUGGUGCUCAGUGGUGUGGUGGUGGCUGUGCUCACUGUGGUGGUGGCCGUCUCCUGUGUGGUGCUCAGUGGUGUGGUGGUGGCUGUGCUCGGUGUGGUGGUGGCCGUCUCCUGUGUGGUGCUCAGUGGUGUUGUGGCCGUGCUCAGUGUGGUGGUGGCCGUCUCCUGUGUGGUGCUCAGUGGUGUGGUGGUGGCUGUGCUCAGUGUGGUGGUGGCCGUCUCCUCUGUGGUGCUCAGUGGUGUUGUGGCCGUGCUCAGUGUGGUGGUGGCUGUCUUCAGUGUGGUGCUCAGUGGUGUGGGGGUGGCAGUGCUUAGUGUGGAAGUGGCCGUCUCCUGUGUGCUGCUCACUGUGGUGGUGACUGUCUCCUUUGUGGUGCUCAGUGGUGUGGUGGUGGCUGUGCUCAGUGUGGUGGUGGCCGUCUCCUGUGUGGUGCUCAGUGGUGUGGUGGUGGCUGUGCUCAGUGUGGUGGUGGCCGUCUCCUGUGUGGUGCUCAGUGGUGUUGUGGCCGUGCUCAGUGUGGUGGUGGCCGUCUCCUGUGUGGUGCUCAGUGGUGUGGUGGUGGCUGUGCUCAGUGUGGUGGUGGCCGUCUCCUGUGUGGUGCUCAGUGGUGUGGUGGUGGCUGUGCUCAGUGUGGUGGUGGCCGUCUCCUCUGUGGUGCUCAGUGGUGUUGUGGCCGUGCUCAGUGUGGUGGUGGCCGUCUUCUGUGUGGUGCUCAGUGGUGUGGUGGUGGCUGUCUCCUGUGUGGUGCUCAGUGGUGUGGUGGUGGCUGUGCUCAGUGUGGUGGUGGCCGUCUCCUCUGUGGUGCUCAGUGGUGUUGUGGCCGUGCUCAGUGUGGUAGUGGCUGUCUUCAGUGUGGUGCUCAGUGGUGUGGUGGUGGCUGUGCUCAGUGUGGAAGUGGCCGUCACCUGUGUGCUGCUCACUGUGGUGGUGAGAGUCUCCUGUGUGGUGCUCAGUUGUGUGGUGGCUGUGCUCACUGUGGUGGUGGUCGGCUUCUGUGUGGUGCUCAGUAGUUUGCUGGUGGCCGUGCUCAGUGUGGUGGUGGCCGUCUCCUGUGUGGUGCUCAGUGGUGUGGUGGUGGCUGUGCUCACUCUGGUGGUGGCCGUCUCCUGUGUGGUGCUCAGUGGUGUGGUGGUGGCUGUGCUCAGUGUGGUGGUGGCCGUCUCCUCUGUGGUGCUCAGUGGUGUGGUGGUAGCUGUGCUCAGUGUGGUGGUGGCCGUCUCCUGUGUGGUGCUCAAUGGUGUGGUGGUGGCCGUGCUCACUCUGGUGGUGGCCGUCUCCUGUGUGGUGCUCAUUGGUGUGGUGGUGGCCGUGUUCACUCUGGUGGUGGCCGUCUCCUCUGUGGUGCUCAGUGGUGUGGUGGUGGCUGUGCUCAGUGUGGUGGUGGCUGUCUCCUCUGUGGUGCUUAGUGGUGUUGUGGCCAUGCUCAGUGUGGUGGUGGCUGUCUUCAGUGUGGUGCUCAGUGGUGUGUUGGUGGCAGUGCUCAGUGUGGAAGUGGCCGCCUCCUGUGUGCUGCUCACUGUGGUGGUGACUGUCUCCUUUGUGGUGCUCAGUGGUGUGGUGGUGGCUGUGCUCACUGUGGUGGUGGACGGCUUCUGUGUGGUGCUCAGUGGUUUGGUGGUGGCUGUGCUCAGUGUGGUGGUGGUCGUCUCCUGUGUGGUGCUCAGUGGUGUGGUGGUGGCCGUGCUCACUCUGGUGGUGGCCGUCUCCUGUGUGGUGCUCAGUGGUGUGGUGGUGGCUGUGCUCAGUGUGGUGGUGGCCGUCUCCUCUGUGGUGCUUAGUGGUGUUGUGGCCGUGCUCAGUGUGGUGGUGGCUGUCUUCAGUGUGGUGCUCAGUGGUGUGGGGGUGGCAGUGCUUAGUGUGGAAGUGGCCGUCUCCUGUGUGCUGCUCACUGUGGUGGUGACUGUCUCCUUUGUGGUGCUCAGUGGUGUGGUGGUGGCUGUGCUCACUGUGGUGGUGGCCGACUCCUGUGUGGUGCUCAGUGGUGUGGUGGUGGCUGUGCUCAGUGUGGUGGUGGCCGUCUCCUGUGUGGUGCUCAGUGGUGUGGUGGUGGCCGUGCUCACUCUGGUGGUGGCCGUCUCCUGUGUGGUGCUCAGUGGUGUGGUGGUGGCUGUGCUCAGUGUGGUGGUGGCCGUCUCCUCUGUGGUGCUUAGUGGUGUUGUGGCCGUGCUCAGUGUGGUGGUGGCCGUCUUCAGUGUGGUGCUCAGUGGUGUGGUGGUGACUGUGCCCAGUGUGGUGGUGGCCGUCUCCUCUGUGGUGCUCAGUGGUGUUGUGGCCGUGCUCAGUGUGGUGGUGGCUGUCUUCAGUGUGGUGCUCAGUGGUGUGGUGGUGGCUGUGCUCAUGGUGGAAGUGGCCGUCUCCUGUGUGCUGCUCACUGUGGUGGUGACUGUCUCCUGUGUGGUGCUCAGUGGUGUGGUGGUGGCUGUGCUCACUAUGGUGGUGGCCGGCUUCUGUGUGGUGCUCAGUAGUUUGCUGGUGGCCAUUCUCAGUGUGGUGGUAGCCGUCUCCUGUGUGGUGCUCAGUGGUGUGGUGGUGGCCGUGCUCACUCUGGUGGUGGCUGUCUCCUGUGUGGUGCUCAGUGGUGUGGUGGUGGCUGUGCUCAGUGUGGUGGUGGCCGUCUCCUGUGUGGUGCUCAGUGGUGUUGUGGCCAUGCUCAGUGUGGUGGUGGCUGUCUUCAGUGUGGUGCUCAGUGGUGUGGUGGUGGCCGUGCUCAGUGUGGAAGUGGCCGUCUCCUGUGUGCUGCUCACUGUGGUGGUGACUGUCUCCUGUGUGGUGCUCAGUGGUGUGGUGGUGGCUGUGCUCACUGUAGUGGUGGCUUGCUUCUGUGUGGUGCUCAGUAGUUUGCUGGUGGCCGUGCUCAGUGUGGUGGUGGCCGUCUCCUGUGUGGUGCUCAGUGGUGUGGUGGUGGCUGUACUCACCGUGGUGGUGGUCGGCUUCCGUGUGGUGCUCAGUGGUGUGGUGGUGGCCGUGCUCACUCUGGUGGUGGCCGUCUCCUGUGUGGUGGUCAGUGGUGUGGUGGUGGCCGUGCUCACUCUGGUAGUAGCCGUCUCCUGUGUGGUGCUCAGUGGUGUGGUGGUGGCAGUGCUCAUUGUCGAAGUGGCCGUCUCCUGUGUGCUGCUCACUGUGGUGGUGACUGUCUCCUUUGUGGUGCUCAGUGGUGUGGUGGUGGCUGUGCUCAGUGUGGUGGUGGCCGUCUCCUGUGUGGUGCUCAGUGGUGUUGUGGCCGUGCUCAGUGUGGUGGUGGCCGUCUCCUGUGUGGUGCUCAGUGGUGUGGUGGUGGCUGUGCUCAGUGUGGUGGUGGCCGUCUCCUGUGUGCUGCUCACUGUGGUGGUGACUGUCUCCUUUGUGGUGCUCAGUGGUGUGGUGGUGGCUGUGCUCACUGUGGUGGUGGCUGUCUCCUGUGUGGUGCUCAGUGGUGUGGUGGUGGCUGUGCUCAGUGUGGUGGUGGCUGUCUCCUCUGUGGUGCUUAGUGGUGUUGUGGCCGUGCUCAGUGUGGUGGUGGCUGUCUUCAGUGUGGUGCUCAGUGGUGUGGUGGUGGCUGUGCUCAGUGUGGUGGUGGCCGUCUCCUGUGUGCUGCUCACUGUGGUGGUGACUGUCUCCUUUGUGGUGCUCAGUGGUGUGGUGGUGGCUGUGCUCACUCUGGUGGUGGCCGUCUCCUGUGUGGUGCUCAGUGGUGUGGUGGUGGCCGUGUUCACUCUGGUGGUGGCCGUCUCCUCUGUUGUGCUCAGUGGUGUGGUGGUGGCUGUGCUCAGUGUGGUGGUGGCUGUCUCCUCUGUGGUGCUUAGUGGUGUUGUGGCCGUGCUCAGUGUGGUGGUGGCUGUCUUCAGUGUGGUGCUCAGUGGUGUGGUGGUGGCAGUGCUCAGUGUGGAAGUGGCCGUCUCCUGUGUGCUGCUCACUGUGGUGGUGACUGUCUCCUUUGUGGUGCUCAGUGGUGUGGUGGUGGCUGUGCUCACUGUGGUGGUGGCCGACUCCUGUGUGGUGCUCAGUGGUGUGGUGGUGGCUGUGCUCAGUGUGGUGGUGGCCGUCUCCUGUGUGGUGCUCAGUGGUGUGGUGGUGGCCGUGCUCACUCUGGUGGUGGCCGUCUCCUGUGUGGUGCUCAGUGGUGUGGUGGUGGCUGUGCUCAGUGUGGUGGUGGCCGUCUCCUCUGUGGUGCUCAGCGGUCUUGUGGCCGUGCUCAGUGUGGUGGUGGCUGUCUUCAGUGUGGUGCUCAGUGGUGUGGUGGUGGCUGUGCUCAGUGUGGAAGUGGCCGUCUCCUGUGUGCUGCUCACUGUGGUGGUGACUGUCUCCUUUGUGGUGCUCAGUGGUGUGGUGGUGGCUGUGCUCACUGUGGUGGUGGACGGCUUCUGUGUGGUGCUCAGUGGUUUGGUGGUGGCUGUGCUCAGUGUGGUGGUGGCCGUCUCCUGUGUGGUGCUCAGUGGUGUGGUGGUGGCCGUGCUCACUCUGGUGGUGGCCGUCUCCUGUGUGGUGCUCAGUGGUUUGGUGGUGGCUGUGCUCAGUGUGGUGGUGGCUGUCUCCUCUGUGGUGCUCAGUGGUGUUGUGGCCGUGCUCAGUGUGGUGGUGGCUGUCUUCAGUGUGGUGCUCAGUGGUGUGGUGGUGGCUGUGCUCAUGGUGGAAGUGGCCGUCUCCUGUGUGCUGCUCACUGUGGUGGUGACUGUCUCCUGUGUGGUGCUCAGUGGUGUGGUGGUGGCUGUGCUCACUGUGGUGGUGGCCGGCUUCUGUGUGGUGCUCAGUAGUUUGCUGGUGGCCGUUCUCAGUGUGGUGGUAGCCGUCUCCUGUGUGGUGCUCAGUGGUGUGGUGGUGGCCGUGCUCACUCUGGUGGUGGCUGUCUCCUGUGUGGUGCUCAGUGGUGUGGUGGUGGCUGUGCUCAGUGUGGUGGUGGCCGUCUCCUCUGUGGUGCUCAGUGGUGUUGUGGCCAUGCUCAGUGUGGUGGUGGCUGUCUUCAGUGUGGUGCUCAGUGGUGUGGUGGUGGCCGUGCUCAGUGUGGAAGUGGCCGUCUCCUGUGUGCUGCUCACUGUGGUGGUGACUGUCUCCUGUGUGGUGCUCAGUGGUGUGGUGGUGGCUGUGCUCACUGUAGUGGUGGCUUGCUUCUGUGUGGUGCUCAGUAGUUUGCUGGUGGCUGUGCUCAGUGUGGUGGUGGCCGUCUCCUGUGUGGUGCUCAGUGGUGUGGUGGUGGCUGUACUCACUGUGGUGGUGGUCGGCUUCCGUGUGGUGCUCAGUGGUGUGGUGGUGGCCGUGCUCACUCUGGUGGUGGCCGUCUCCUGUGUGGUGGUCAGUGGUGUGGUGGUGGCCGUGCUCACUCUGGUAGUAGCCGUCUCCUGUGUGGUGCUCAGUGGUUUGGUGGUGGCUGUGCUCAGUGUGGAAGUGGCCGUCUCCUGUGUGCUGCUCACUGUGGUGGUGACUGUCUCCUGUGUGGUGCUCAGUGGUGUGGUGGUGGCUGUUCUCACUGUGGUGUUGGCCGGCUUCUGUGUGGUGCUCAGUAGUUUGCUGGUGGCCGUUCUCAGUGUGGUGGUGGCCGUCUCCUGUGUGGUGCUCAGUGGUGUGGUGGUGGCUGUGCUCACUCUGGUGGUGGCUGUCUCCUCUGUGGUGCUCAGUGGUGUUGUGGCCGUGCUCAGUGUGGUGGUGACCAUCUCCUGUGUGGUGUUCAAUGGUGUGGUGGUGGCCGUGCUCACUGUGGUGGUUGCUGUCUUCUGUGUGGUGCUCAGUGGCGUGGUUGUGACCAUUCUCAGUGUGGUGGUGGCCGUCUCCUGUGUGGUGCUCACUGUGGUGGUAGCCGUCUCCUGUGUGGUGCUCAGUGUGGUGGUAGCUGUCUCCUGUGUGGUGCUCAGUGGUGUGGUGGCUGUGCUCUGUGUGGUGGUGGCUGUCUUCUGUGUGGUGCUCAGUGGUGUGGUGGCUGGCCUCAGUGUGGUGGUGGCUGUCUCCUGUGUGGUGGUCAGUGGUGUGGUGGCCGUGCUCACUGUGGUGGUAGCUGUCCCCUGUGUGUUACUGGCCGUAAUCAGUGUGGUGGCCAUUGGGGUGUUGGUGCGCAGGCUCUUGCAGUGGCUGAUGUCAUCACAGCACAGAACGCGGAUCCUGUAGUUGUAGCACAUGUGGAACACUCCCUCCUGUUCCUGGUUGUGGCACACGAGGCCGAAGCUGAGGUUGCAGUGCACGUGCUGUCCUAGCUCCUCGGGGGUCUUUGAGGGGUAGUUCUGGGCCCGGCACUCGAUGUCCUCAGGCUGUGGGCAGAGGGCUCCCCCCGCAGCUCUGAUCCUUUCGUAGGUCUCCAUGUCUCCCCCGGCCCUCUCAGAUUUGGGGUAGUCCACGUCGAACCACUCUGUCCACUGGCAUUGGGGCCGGCAGGUAGAGGUACUGGGGGCAAGGGUGCUACUGACCCAGUCAGUUUUGGGUGUGGCUGAUGAGCGGGACCUGGUCUGUAGGGUAAGCUCUGUGGUCAACAGAGAGCUGAGUGCCGUGGAUGUGGUGAUCCCUCUGCUGGAUGAGGUCAGGGUGGGGCUGGACAGGGCCCAGGGAGUGGUGAGUGUUGUUGUGGAGGUAGGGGGAGCUGGGGAGGAGCUGCAGGGCACAGGAUCACAGCACAGGACCCGCAGCUGGUAGUUGUGGCAGAGUGGGGGGCUCUGCUCACUGUUGAGGCAGAUCAGACCCUUGGCUGGAUCACAGUCCACCUUCUGGCCCAGCUCUUGCAGGGGUGACCCUGGGAACUGCUCCGCACGGCACUCGAUGGCAGCAGGUGCCAGGCACAGUGGGUACCCCUGCUCCCUCAGUCUGGUGAGCAUCUCGAAGUCCCCACCUCCCAUGCCGGGCUCUGGGUGGUCCCCAUCGAGCCAGGGGGACCAGCGGCAGACCUUUCGGACACACACGGUAGAGGCGGUGGGAACGGAGCCUGCAGAGGG